GACAGAGGAUGCAAGCGUUAUCCGGAAUUACUGGGCGUAAAGCGCGCGUAGGUGGUUUGUUAAGUUGGAUGUGAAAUCCCCGGGCUCAACCUGGGAACUGCAUCCAAAACUGGCAAGCUAGAGUAUGGUAGAGGGUGGUGGAAUUUCCUGUGUAGCGGUGAAAUGCGUAGAUAUAGGAAGGAACACCAGUGGCGAAGGCGACCACCUGGACUGAUACUGACACUGAGGUGCGAAAGCGUGGGGAGCAAACAGG
rnacentral:rRNA from 1 species